rnacentral:lncRNA from 1 species
GUACAAGCAACUUUUCUAUUUUAAUAGGAUAAUGCCGAAUACUCUAUUAGAAUUUUGCCCAUGGAGUUUGAAUUUUGUUCCUUAAAUUAUGGUUUCAUCAGAUUUAAAGGAACCAAGGCAAAGGGCCCUUAUAGGUAGAUGACAUCUAAAGUAUCCAUGCUGAAUGAAACACUUCAUCUAAUUCUUGGUUUAGUAUUUUAACAACAUCUGAAACACCUAGUUCUUUUUAUUAUUUUUAAUGUAUUAACAUUGCUUCAUUUAUGGGUUGGGUGAAGUUUUCAUCAUUGUGUUUUAUUGUUCUCAAAUGAGCAUCAUAUGUGAUUGUCACAUAUGUGUUUCAUUUGAAAGUUAGUCAUCUGCUAUAAAAUGUGUGAAUUAAAAAUAGCAAUUGUUUGUUUAGAAUUCUGAGGUCUUAUUCUGCUCCUUUCUGUUUCCUAUAAUAAAAUCCUUAUUCUUAAAUA